ACCAAGCUCACUGCAGUUUUGGAUUAUCCUUUGUGUGUCAGGAAUUCACACACUCCCGAAGAGAACGGCAUUUAUUUAUUCCUUAGGUUUCAUGACCCUCAGUCACAAACCCUGGAUGAUCUUGAACAGCUUCAGGAAUAAACAUAAAGAUAUGAACAGGGCCAUGUCUUCAAUGGAGCAGUCCUGGACUGCAAGAAUUGAGAACUGUGUGCGCGACUACGUGGCACCGGGAGUGAGGAAACGGUAAGGUAACAGCAUGGCGGGUGAUUCAGAGGCUGCCCGCCAGAGAGACAACACGUUUCCUGUGGCUGCAUAAUUAAUGAAGCAGGAAGUGGACAAUACAGUGUGAAAAUCAGUCAUUGCAGCAGAAAGAAGAUGAUGUGAAGAUCAGUGAUGGAGGAAUAUUAAGGAAUGAGGGUCUUGCUCUGCUUCUUCUUCCUCCUCUUCUCCAUGUCCCUGUUGUCAUGAAGAGACAUUAAAGUAUUUAAUGUUAUUAGAAAUUGUUUUUAAAAUGGAGUUGUAGUGGGGUCUGUGUCUAUGUGUUUGACUGUGUGUGUCUUAAUUGGAUUAAAGCCAGUUAGUCUGGGUGCUUUGAUGUAUAGUAGUUUUGAGACAUUAGUUAGAUAAACAUAAGGAAGAUAGAAGGUAAAGUGUAAAUUUGCAUUUGUUGAGUGAAGCACUCAAGAGUGGGAGUAAAAUUUUGUACCCAGCUGGGAGAUGCAAAGCAAUGUGGUUAUAUUACUAAUAAAAUUAGCGGGAUGAAAAUGUUAUCGUUAGAUGUAACAUUAAAAGCCUGGUGAUACAAUGGAAAAUUUAUAUUCAAAGGAAAAGCUAAAUAUAAACAGAAAAGAGUUUGUGUUUGUAAGGUAGAGGCAUUCAAGAUCUAACCAGCCUGUAAGCCUAC